GUGGGGAAUAUUGGACAAUGGGGGGAACCCUGAUCCAGCCAUGCCGCGUGUGUGAAGAAGGCCUUUUGGUUGUAAAGCACUUUAAGCGAGGAGGAGGCUACCGAGAUUAAUACUCUUGGAUAGUGGACGUUACUCGCAGAAUAAGCACCGGCUAACUCUGUGCCAGCAGCCGCGGUAAUACAGAGGGUGCAAGCGUUAAUCGGAUUUACUGGGCGUAAAGCGCGCGUAGGUGGCCAAUUAAGUCAAAUGUGAAAUCCCCGAGCUUACAUUGGGAAUUGCAUUCGAUACUGGUUGGCUAGAGUAUGGGAGAGGAUGGUAGAAUUCCAGGUGUAGCGGUGAAAUGCGUAGAGAUCUGGAGGAAUACCGAUGGCGAAGGCAGCCAUCUGGCCUAAUACUGACACUGAGGUGCGAAAGCAUGGGGAGCAAACAGGAUUAGAAACCCCGGUAGUCC
rnacentral:rRNA from 1 species